UACAGAGGUGGCAAGCGUUGUUCGGAAUUACUGGGCGUAAAGGGCGCGUAGGCGGUUUCGUAAGUCCCGUGUGAAAGCCCCCGGCUCAACUGGGGAACUGCACGGGAAACUGCGAGGCUUGAGUUCGGGAGAGGGAAGCGGAAUUCCGGGUGUAGAGGUGAAAUUCGUAGAUAUUCGGAAGAACACCAGUGGCGAAGGCGGCUCACUGGACCGGCAUUGACGCUGAGGAGCGAAAGCCAGGGGAGCAAAGCGGG
rnacentral:rRNA from 1 species